AGCGAACGCUGGCGGCAGGCCUAACACAUGCAAGUCGAACGAACCUUUCGGGGUUAGUGGCGGACGGGUGAGUAACACGUGGGAACGUUCCUUUAGGUUCGGAAUAACUCAGGGAAACUUGUGCUAAUACCGAAUGUGCCCUUCGGGGGAAAGAUUUAUCGCCUUUAGAGCGGCCUGCGUCUGAUUAGCUAGUUGGUUGAGGUAAUGGCUCACCAAGGCGACGAUCAGUAGCUGGUCUGAGAGGAUGAUCAGCCACAUUGGGACUGAGACACGGCCCAAACUCCUACGGGAGGCAGCAGUGGGGAAUAUUGCGCAAUGGGCGAAAGCCUGACGCAGCCAUGCCGGGUGAAUGAUGAAGGUCUUAGGAUUGUAAAAUUCUUUCACCGGGGACGAUAAUGACGGUACCCGGAGAAGAAGCCCCGGCUAACUUCGUG
rnacentral:rRNA from 1 species